UUCCAGAAGGAAAACUGUUUCGUCCAAUCACAGUCCUCGUUUUAAUGACUGAUUUUCCUAAGAGCCAAUGUUAGCAGCACAUUCAGAAGUCCCGCCGGCGCUGCUGCCGCCUUCAGUAUGAGCAGAGGGAGAGAGAGAGCGAGUCAGGCAAAGCAGCUGCACGGAACGAUCUCCAGAAACUCUCCACAUUGAACGAUAGAUUUAGAGAAAAGUGACCUAAAUAUAAUGAAAGGAUUGGAUUUCUGAGUGGAUGCGAUAACUUUGAGAAGCUGUCACCAGAGUGAGAAGAGGGCGAGGCAGAAAAUUAGAAAUAAAGGCCGAUGCAGACCCACGGAGCAUCAAAGCACCGCAAAUUAACUUCCUUGUUUGAGUAGGAUAUCAAAUUCUUGCUUUGGUCCUACUUGCCCCACUCUGCGCGGGCCUCGAACCUGCGUCUCCGGCGUGGGAUUCGGACGCCCUAACAAGGAGGCUAAAGGCUGCAACCUCUAGCAUCAGUCACUAGAGCAUCUCUUGAGAUCAGAGGAGUGAGGUUUACUACUAGGAUCUGCACUCUCCAUUCCUCAACCCUAUAGAAGAGUUUUUCUCGGCAUGGCGGUGGAAGGGAUAUGAUCUCCGUCUCCAGGCUGAGGUACCCCUCAUCCAAGCCAUGGAGGAGGCCUGUGACCAGAUGGAGGUAGCAGCAAUGCAAGGAUGGAUUCGUCAUUCAAGAUGUUGCUUUCCAAGGUGUCUUGCUAAUGACAACAUUGCCUGCGAUGUUGAUGAAAUUCUCUGGCCAGAUCCAGCUAGGCGAAGAGACAAUGUCUAGUUUUUUUUUUUUUUUUUUUUUUUUUACAGUAAA